UAUUAGGUUGGUGUAAAAGUAAUUGCGGUUCUUGCCAUUACUUUCAAUUACUUUCAAUGGCAAGAACCGCAAUUACUUUUGCACCAACGUAAUA
rnacentral:miRNA from 1 species